GACGAACGCUGGCGGCGUGCCUAAUACAUGCAAGUCGAACGGACAGGUCCUGCUCUUGCUGGGUUCACGAUAGCCGCACGGGUGAGAAACACGUGUGUAACCCGUCCCUAUCUGUCUGGUAUCUUCUGGAAACUCGGGCUCACACCCGAUAGGAUCUCUUGAUCCUCAUUGUGGGAUGGUAAGUUACGGUGGUGGGGGAUGGACUCGCUGCUUACGCGCUUGUUGGUGGAGUAGUGGCUUACCAAGGCUACGACGGGUAGCCGGCCUGGGAGGGUGACCGGGCACAUUGGGACUGAGGUACGGCCCAGACUCCAACGGGAGGCAGCGGGGGGGAAUAUUACACAAUAGGCGGAAGCCUGAUGCAACGGCGCCGGGUGCGGGAUGACGGCUUUCGGGUUGUAAACCGCUUUCGCCUGUGACGAAGCGUGAGUGACGGUAAUGGAUAAGAAAGCACCGGCUAACUACGUG
rnacentral:rRNA from 1 species